UACAGAGGGGGCAAGCGUUGUUCGGAAUUACUGGGCGUAAAGGGCGCGUAGGCGGCCUUCUAAGUCGAACGUGAAAUCCCCGGGCUCAACCCGGGAACUGCGUCCGAGACUGGAAGGCUCGAAUCCGGGAGAGGGAUGUGGAAUUCCAGGUGUAGCGGUGAAAUGCGUAGAUAUCUGGAGGAACAUCGGUGGCGAAGGCGGCAGCCUGGACCGGUAUUGACGCUGAUGCGCGAAAGCGUGGGUAGCAAACAGG
rnacentral:rRNA from 1 species